CCUACGGGUGGCAGCAGUGGGGAAUAUUGCGCAAUGGGCGAAAGCCUGACGCAGCGACGCCGCGUGAGGGAUGAAGGUCUUCGGAUCGUAAACCUCUGUCAGCAGGGAAGAACGGUCACUGUGCUAAUCAGCAGUGAAUUGACGGUACCUGCAAAGAAAGCACCGGCUAACUCCGUGCCAGCAGCCGCGGUAAUACGGAGGGUGCGAGCGUUAAUCGGAAUUACUGGGCGUAAAGCGCUCGUAGGCGGUAUGUCAAGUCAAUGGUGAAAUCCCCGGGCUCAACGUGGGAACUGCCUUUGAAACUGGCAAACUGGAGUGUGUGAGAGGAUAGUGGAAUUCCAGGUGUAGGAGUGAAAUGCGUAGAUAUCUGGAGGAACAUCAGUGGCGAAGGCGACUAUCUGGCACAUAACUGACGCUGAGGAGCGAAAGCGUGGGUAGCAAACAGGAUUAGAUACCCUUGUAGUC
rnacentral:rRNA from 1 species